rnacentral:lncRNA from 1 species
AUGUGGUCGUGGAUGCGCUUAGUAGGAAGUCGGCGAAGAACCUCGCUUUCGAUGUUACCCAGCAAACACCCCUGUGGCUAGACAUGGAGCGAUUGGACCUUGAAGUGGUCGCUCCCGAGGUCCCGACUCAGUUGAUGGCACUCGUUGUCCAACCGACCUUGUUGGAGAGGAUCAAAGAUCUGCAACCCGCAGACCCAGAACUCCAAAAGGUGCAGCGAAACAUCGAGGAAGGUCAUGGCGACGAUUUCAAGGUAGACGCCGACGGUACGCUUCGGUUUCGAAACCGAUUGUAAUAUACCGAGAAUUCGGAAAAUAAAUAUCGAACUUUAGUCAAAUUGACCAAAGUGCGAGGACGGUACACUUCGGAAAGUUCGAAGGUGUUAAAAUGAGUAAAAGAGUGUUGUGGAAGGUUUUCGAGAGCUAAGAAUCAAAAUUUUGCAAACUGCAGAUUUUCAACUCUCAGGGACCGGUCCCUGGUGGGAGAGACCGGUCCCUGAACGUGUGAAAAAUGAGCGAGGCCGCAAAUCGGCUAAGUCCCUGAGAACCAGCCGAAAAUGAGGGAGGACCGCGGCAAGGGCAUCGCCCCCGAUCAGUGAGACCGUGGUAGUUAGUAGCUUUCCUUUUGCAUUAGUACACCUAUGUAUUUGAGAGAUUCAUUGUAGGUGAGGACUUGGAGAGCUAUGCAUUUUGAGAUGAAAAAUGUAUUCAUUUAAAGAGAAUGAUGUAAAUGGAAAUGAUGAAACUGUUGUAAUAGUUCGUAAAAUACUCUCUUUAUUUCACAUGUACAUCUUGUGGAUUACUUGCUCUUUGUAUUGUUGGCACUGUUUGUGUCCUUGUGAAUGUGUAUGUUUAGAAUUUAAGUUCCCAGGUAAAUUCUUGUACACAUUCUUGUUGUUGAGCCUUGGACGGACAGGGGAGAUGCUGUCCGUUCGGCAGUCCGCCGCCGCGGCCGAACCGUGCCAAAUUGGUAGUGGGUUUCAGGGCGGGGCGUGACGGUGCCAUAAGCACCAUCGAUGCCGAGUAUCAGGAAAGACACGUGUGAUAGCAUUUUGCAUCGCUUUAUCUUGAUCUGUGAUUAUUGCUUUGGGGGCACGCUCGGACAUGCAUGACAACCAAUUCCGAAAGAGCCAUACAAACGAUUCUAUAUCUUCAGUGGAGAGUAAGCCGCAUCCCAACAAGAUCGACUAUCCAUGAUGGUUAACACCAACGAGAGGGACAAUUGGCAUAUCGUAUUUAUUUGUUAGAUAUGUCGAGUCGAAAGUAAUUACAUCUCCGAAACUUUCAUACGCCGCUCUACUCCGAGCAUCUGCCCAAAAGACAUUGCGAAGCCGAGAAUCAUCGUCUAGAUCUAUGGCAUAAAAAGAGUUUCCAUUUCUCUCUUGCAUUUCUCUAAAAUAAUUACAAAUUGCCUCGCCGUCACCUUCACCAAGUCGUAGCCGACGGACUUUUUCAAUAUAAUUACGAGCAUCCUUCUCUCCAAAUGUUAAGUUUUCAUACCCACCAGCUUCAACAGCAAUAGAAUUAAAAUUUUUGUUCAAUCUGAUCUAGCACGAUCAUUAAUAUCAAGCCGCCUCUUGAUGCUCGGAUCUAUAAUUCGAUUGCAGGGAAAAAAUUGAGACUUAUAAGGACUUAGGAUGUGAUUAUGCUCAAGUACAAUUUUACUUAUUACACAAGAUAAAUCCGCAUUUAUUACUACAUUUAUCCUCGCAAGACAGUUCGUCUUUACUACCGAUGGACGAGGACGAAGAUUCGUCACGGUCCGAUUCAUUUUUCCAUGACGAGAGCAUGCGAUUAUUACAUACGUAGCCUUGCCAUCAGUCAUUUUAGUUGUCCUCUUUACAACUCCAAAUCCUAAUUCCUGUGCGUAAUGCUUAUAGAAAUUAAAAACGGCUUCAAAAUUGAUAAAAGACAUUCUAAUUUCUGGUGCCGAAAUAUUUACAUCUCUGACCUCACUGUUUCUUUCUUCAUCCAUCUCCAAAAUGUUCAAUUCAAAUAAUCAGUUAACUCAGAAAUUUAACAAAAUUGCUCACCUAUAAGACAUCACAUGCAGUCGAAAUAUAUAAUUGGAAUAAUGGUGACCAGGCAAACUAUUUAUCAAAAUCAAUACAUCUAAAUUAAUAAUGUAUACACCACAUUCUACUAUACCCUAAAAAUGAAUCAUUGUGGCAUAACAAAAUAAUACAAGUAUUUUAUUAUAAGUACAUCCUAAACGUUUUAGUUAGUGCAUGACAAAUGUGAAGACAAAGAACUCCAAUAAGAUAGUCGCAACUUAUCAGUCUUAUUCUUAAGACUGAUAAGAUAAUACUCACUUGAAUUACAAGCCAUUCAUACAUCAUAUAAAAGAGACAUAAGUUUUUGCAGCUCAAGGACAAGCAUCAUAUACUGGAAGUAAUUGGACAGUGUGGACCAGAAGUAAUGAAUCGCAGCUAGUAAACUGAGCACACUUGGACAACAAUUAUGCAUAAGAGACGAACAGUUGGACUUUCAUGUUAUAUAGAAUAUUACUGAUCAACCUAUAUGAACUGGCUAGUGAAUUGGCCUCGCUAGUUCCAAGAUAAUAAUAUUUCAGCAUCAAUACAGGAAGGGCAAUAAAUUUGCAAAAUCAACUUUGAGAAAUCACAUAUAUACUUUAUUUACGAUGCAUCUAAACAAAUGUAAGUAAAACAAUGGUGACAAAGGCCAAGUUCAUUAAAUGUGCUUCAGUAGUAAACUAGUUAGUUGUCAUUGUCAUUAGGACUGAAACUCUUAAAUUCAAAACUUUUUUCAACCUAUGAGUAAACUGCACCACGGGAUCUCAACCUUUUAGCAUAGUUUUACUUUGGUCACGAACCUUUCAAUUGUUAAAUUGGAACUCUAGCAUUUGUGUUGUGUCCCAAUUUUACCUUUUUCACUUAAAUUCCUCCAUCUUCUCACGUUCAUCAUUACUUAUACACUCAACGGUAUAACAACAUAAAAAAAGAAACCAGUUUCAUUAAACAUUAAAGAUCACUAAUUCUCUGCGAUCAAAUGCUUACAACAUCACAAUCAACUAAUCCGUAAUAACUACAACAUGAACCCAAGUCACACACAUCCACUAAGAAAUAGAGAGGGGAGAUUUACCAAAUGCAAGAUGCUAAUCAAGGCGCCAUCCGCAUCCGGCCACUUGGACACCAAAUCAAACACGAAGUUCCCCUCGCCAACGACGACUCUGCAAGAAGCAUCGCUCUGAAUCCCACCUAAUCUCAAACCAGUGCUUCCCCUUUCAGAAACUACGAGUCAAAGACGAAGUUCCCCUCACUCUCGCUCUCGCUUUCUCUCGCGGAGGUCAUCUCUGUCUCGCUCAAGUUCUCCUCUCUCUCGCUCUAUCGCUCGCAGGCCUCUCUCUCUAGCUCGCAGGCGCCAGAAAAGGGGAGUGAGGCGCCCCUCUCUCGCUCUUUAAGGAAGUGAAUUCUCGAAAUCCGAGGAUUGUACUUCAUCCAGGGUCGACUAACUGUCGAGAGAAUACCCAUUGUGGGAGUUAAAAAAUGUCCAAAACAUAAGAAGUGCUUUGGAGUUAAGUCCGCGAGAGCAAAUAGGCAAAAUCUGGACUCAGCAAAUAGGCAAAAAUGUCCAAAACACAAGGAUGACCGGGACCGGGCCGAGUGGUUCUUGUGAGGACUUCGGCCGGGAAUUUAUAAGGCCGUGCAAAUACUCAAGCUCACGACCUUUGCAGAAGUCUUCGAUCGAGCACUAUGGGCGGAGCACGGAGAUGCCCAUGUUCGGGAGAAGCAUGAGCUUUUGGCCGAGUCUAAGGACAAGGGCAAGAAACGCCAAGGUGGCAGUAGUUCGGGGGACAAACACGUUACAAGAAACCCCCGAAGUAUCCGCGCACUCAACAGAAGGGCGGUGGAGCGCGGCGAUGCAUUGUAUGCUGCAGAGACCACCCGGUCUCGCGCUGUGAGCAAGGCCGAGGCAAGUGCUACAAGUGUGGGCAACCGGGGCACUUCAUUCGGGACUGCCCGGGAGGAGGAGCCUCACCUGCCCCAUCGAUUGCAUCGGCGCCGGCGAUCCCGACUCAUUAUGGAGGAGUUCCACCGACGGUCGCAUCGACGGGACGCGCGAUGAUGCCGCGUCAACCCAAAGUGACGCGAUCGGCCCCGAGCGGACGGGUGUUCGCCGCUCAGGUCCAAGCUGAGGAACCUGCGGAGGCAGAGGAGCAUCGCCUUGUGGCAGGUAUGGUUUUAAUUAACGGAGUUCGCUCCAGGGCUUUAUUUGAUACAGGAGCCACGCAUUCAUUCAUAAGUAGAUCAUUCGCACGCAUGCAUGACAUACUCAUUGAAGCGCGUGACAAGUGGCGAGUGGAGGGCCCUAGGUCAACGUUUAACACUUACUCGGAGUGUGCGUCGUGUCUCGUACAAAUAGGCGACUGGAUUAUGCCUAUCCGGACACUAGAACUCACAAAGCUUGAGGAUUAUGACGUCAUUCUGGGCAUGGACUGGCUCUCGAAGUACCACGCAACGAUCGACUGCAAGAGCAGGGUGAUCACAUUCUGUGAGCCAGGACAAGAGGAGUUCACAUAUCGGGCUUGUCAAAGCUCAUGCUUCGUCGCGACGGUGUCGGUGACGAGGGCAAGGAAGUUGGUUAACAGCGGUUGCACGGCAUUCUUAGCGACUGUUGUGGAAAUGGAACGAGUAGCUCCAACGUUAGAGGAGCUAUCGGUGGUGCGGGAGUUCCCGGACGUAUUUCCUGCGGAGUUGCCGUGGAUACCACCAGAUCGGGAGAUCGAGUUCGUCAUAGACUUGGUUCCCGGUACCGCACCGAUCUCGAAGGCUCCGUACCGAAUGGCGCCGGCGGAAUUGAAAGAGUUGAGGAGUCAACUGCAAGACCUCCUCGACAAGCAAUUUAUCCGGCCAAGUGUAUCACCGUGGGGAGCCCCGGUGUUGUUCGUACGGAAGAGGGACGGAUCGUUCCAACUCUGCGUGGAUUAUUGAGAAUUGAACAAAGUCACGAUCAAGAACAAGUACCCGCUACCCCGAAUCGAUGACUUGUUCGAUCAGUUGCAGGGGUCGUGUGUGUACUCGAAGAUAGAUUUGCAGUCCGGCUACCACCAACUAAAGAUCAAGCCGGAGGAUGUGCAGAAAACUGCGUUUCGUACGCGAUAUGGACACUACGAAUUCACGGUCAUGCCAUUUGGACUCACGAAUGCUCCAGCGGCAUUUAUGGAUUUGAUGAACCGUGUCUUAAGAAAAUAUUUGAAUCGAUUUAUCAUGGUCUUCAUAGACGACAUAUUAGUCUACUCUCGUAAUGACGAGGAACAUACCGAGCAUUUGAGAAUAGUGCUUCAAGUCCUUCGGGAGGAGAAGCUAUAUGCUAAGCUGAAGAAGUGUAACUUCUGGCUCCGCGAGGUCGCCUUCUUAGGGCAUGUAAUUUCCGCGGGUGGAGUUUCUGUAGACCCGAGGAAAGUUGAGACAAUCAAGGAUUGACCGCGCCCGACGAAUGUCACGGAGGUUCGAAGCUUCGUGGGCUUGGCGGGCUAUUAUAGGCGGUUUGUGGAAGGCUUUUCCAAGAUAAUGAUUCCACUUACCCGCCUGACUAAGAAAGGCACCAAGUUUGUUUGGAGCGAAGAGUGCGACCGAAGUUUCAAAGAGUUGAAGCAAAGAUUGACUUCGACUCCGGUGAGAGCUCUACCGGUACAGGACGAAGACUUCAUGGUCUACAGUGAUGCCUCCUAUCUUGGAUUGGGGUGUGUAUUAUUGCAAAACGGGAAAGUGAUCGCUUAUGCAUCCCAUCAGCUGAAGAGCUAUGAAAAGAACUACCCCAUCCAUGAUUUGGAGCUAGCAGCGGUGAUUUUUCGCCUUGAAGCUGUGGAGGCACUACUUAUAUGGUGCCCAUUGUGAGAUCUAUACCGACCAUAAGAGCUUGAAGUACCUGUUUACACAGAAGGAGCUCAACAUGCGUCAGCGGCGGUUGUUGGAGCUGUUAAAGGAUGUGGUCGCGGACGCACUUAGUAGGAAGUCGGCGAAGAACCUCGCUUUUGAUGUUACCCAGCAAACACCCCUAUGGCUGGAUAUGGAGCGAUUGGACCUUGAAGUGGUCGCUCCCGAGGUCCCGACUCAGUUGAUGGCACUCGUUGUCCAACCGACCUUGUUGGAGAGGAUCAAAGAUCUGCAACCCGCAGACCCCGAACUCCAA